rnacentral:rRNA from 1 species
UACGGAAGGGGCGAGCGUUGUUCGGAAUCAUUGGGCGUAAAGGGCGCGUAGGUGGUUCUGUAUGUCUACCGUGAAAGCGUACGGCUCAACCGUAUUUUGUCGGUAGAAACUGCAGGACUUGAGACCGGGAGAGGUGAGUGGAAUUCCCAGUGUAGCGGUGAAAUGCGUAGAUAUUGGGAGGAACACCAGUGGCGAAGGCGGCUCACUGGUCCGGUUCUGACGCUGAGGCGCGAAAGCGUGGGGAGCAACAGG